AGGGCUGCUGUCACCCCAGCCCCUGACACAUCCAGUAGAUGGCGCCAAAGCUGAGAAUGGUUCCUUCUGAGAACAUGAACUAUGUGCACCAAAGUCUCACCAUCUUUGCUUCUAAGAAGGAUUCUGGCUGGAUUUCCUCCGAGAUGUAUUUGUUCCUUCUGGCAGGCUAUGGGAAGUAAAGGUGCAAUCCAUACUGAUCGUCAGCAGCAAAUGCUUCAAGUCUUCAGCAAGUAAGGUCACGUCACCUGCACACCACCUUCCUUCAAUCCAGACGCUGUGUUUUUCAUAGUCUAAUUUCUUGGAUUAUUUGCUCA